AGCGAACGCUGGCGGCAGGCCUAACACAUGCAAGUCGAACGGAUCCUUCGGGAUUAGUGGCGGACGGGUGAGUAACACGUGGGAACGUGCCCUUUGGUUCGGAACAACUCAGGGAAACUUGAGCUAAUACCGGAUGUGCCCUUCGGGGGAAAGAUUUAUCGCCAUUGGAGCGGCCCGCGUCUGAUUAGCUAGUUGGUGAGGUAACGGCCCACCAAGGCGACGAUCAGUAGCUGGUCUGAGAGGAUGAUCAGCCACACUGGGACUGAGACACGGCCCAGACUCCUACGGGAGGCAGCAGUGGGGAAUCUUGCGCAAUGGGCGAAAGCCUGACGCAGCCAUGCCGAGUGAAUGAUGAAGGUCUUAGGAUUGUAAAAUUCUUUCAGCGGGGACGAUAAUGACGGUACCCGCAGAAGAAGCUCCGGCUAACUUCGUG
rnacentral:rRNA from 1 species